ensembl:lncRNA
GUUUUAAAGAGAAUCUCAAAAACCUAUUAAGAUUAAAGUUUUCUUUUUAAGAAAUGUGAAAACAUGAUUUGCAGCACUGCUACAUAGUGUUCCUUAAAAAAAAUAUUUGCAUAGAUUAAGGAAUUUGGAUCAUAAAUAGCAUUUUUAAUUACAAGCAGUGCUCUUUUACAGCUUGCGGUAUGUUCUAACUGAUGUUCACAGCAUGACAUAUCAGAACUAUGUUGAUCGAGUAUUUGUGCUGUCCCACAGAAAGAUCUCAUGUAUUCACCACAUACACGCACAAAGCGGAAUGGACUGGAAAAUGCAUUUGAUCCCCAGGAUAGAGGAGGAGAAGAAACCUAAGGGAUGACUUCAGCCACAAAGUCACUUUGACACAGCGAAUGAGGAAUCAGGUAACGGGAUCAGGCUUCAUUAGGUGACUUCAGGCAAGCUGGCAGUCAGCCAGGUGAGCUGGACUCACAAAUGGACAUUGAUUUUUCAAUAAGGGCCCCACGAGCUUUAAGCCAACUGUACCUCACCGAUAUCCCUCCUGCUUCGGUUACCUGACUACAGGGUCUUGUUGGCAUCCACACACAGCCCACCUGCUUCCUAUUUUCAUCUUAACUGUGAAGUAACCAUCCUAGCCCCACUUGGAGAAAUUGAUGCCUUUAUUUGAAAUCGCAGCACGAAUUGUGGCCCAGUACAGGAGAGGGCUGCUGGGGCCAGACACCUUUAAUGGGUCCCAUCCAUCAGGCCGUCUCCUUGACCGCGGGGCACCGCUAAUACUGGGCUGCCCUCCACCUGAACCCCUUCACCCAGCGGGAAGUAGUAGUUUGCAGAGGAUUCAUUCCAUCGCUUUUAAAUAUGAAUUCGAGAGCAACCGUCUACAGAGAAUAACGCUUAGUUUGCAAAAAGAAAUAAAGAGACAUAAGCAAAUCUAUGUGCCAUAUCCAUUCGCCCAUUAAAAUUGGAUGUUUCCAAAGGUGUUUUAUCCAAAACUCAACCUUUGCAUGUUGCCAGAUUGCAAUCAAUGAGGUUUGAUAAAUGCUACUUUCUUCUUUUGGAGAAAGUCUCUAAUAGGCUUUGUAUGAGAGUAGAUGAGAAAUCAAUAUUCACAGCAUUGUAAAAAUGAUACAACUUUCACUUACAUGUAAUUAUCAGAUUUCAAGCCGAUUUACCCUGACACUACUUAAUGAAAUUGAUUAUCUGUUGUGCAAAAUAACAGAGGGCCUCGCAACUCAGGCUGGCGCUCACUUGCAAGCCCAUAAAUUAUGAAAAUGCAGUGAAAAGUGGAUAAUAAAUAAUAUUUAUACUAGCUGUGAGGUAGAAGC